ensembl:lncRNA
CCUGCAGUUCUGUUCCCACAUGCACAGGCCAGAGGAACUCUGAUAUGUAAAUACACAAAGAGACAUCAUCAUCAUCAUUGUUGUCAUCACAAUGAAUGUUUACUGAGUAUUAUGUAUGUGUGUAAGUGCAUGCUUAGUCGUGUCCAACUCUUUGCGACCCCGUAGACUGUAGUCUACCGGGCUCUUCUGUCCAUGAAAUUCUCCAAGUAAGAAUACUGGAGUCGGUUGCCAUUUCCUUCUCCAAUUUAUUUACAGCAUCCAUUUCUGAUAAGCAGAAGCCCUACUGCAAGUUGAAAGUCACCUCUACUCUAGCCACCCAAUGGCGCAUUUAACAUGUUUGGGGAUAAACUUUUCCUGCACCUCCGCUUGAAUGACAUCUUGCUAGCACAGCCUCCCCUGACUACCCUGUAAUACCAUCUCUGUUUCCAUGUGCAGUCGCUUGCCCAGCAUUGUCGUUUCCCAAGGCUCUUAGCACUCCUUGGCACAUCACGCAUGGCUGUUUGUUGUCAGUUUCUCUCCCGCCCCGGUGCCCGUAUGUACUAGAGUAUGAGCUCUAUGAAAGCACGGAUUUUGGUUUAUUUAUUGGAGUGCCCCCUUGGUUUUGAAGAGAACCUGACACUAGCACAUGGUCUAUCAACAUGUGUUCAAAUAAGUAUUUGUUGAAUAUGUUAAUCAAUCUGGAGUAAAAUGGUGGUAAAUUAUUCAGCUACAGUGCUUAGCCGGCAAAAGACUGAAAAAGAUAAAACUGAGAAAGUCAUGUUUACUUUUCCUUCGUACAAAGAUAAGAUUAAUCAUACAGAGAAUUUUGAGCUUCUCUAAAUGAAACAACUCUUGAGAGUCCCUUGGACUGCAACGAGGUCCAACCAGUCCAUCCUAAAGGAGAUCAGUCCUGGGUGUUCAUUGGAAGGACUGAUGCUAAAGCUGAAACUCCAGUACUUUGGCCACCUCAUGUGAAGAGUUGACUCAUUGGAAAAGACCCUGAUGCUGGGAGGGAUUGGGGGCAGGAGCAGAAGGGGACGACAGAGGAUGAGAUGGCUGGAUGGCAUCACCGACUCGAUGGACAUGGGUUUGGGUGGGCUCCGGGAGUUGGUGAUGGACAGGGAGGCCUGGCGUGCUGCGAUGCAUGGGGUCACAAAAAGUCGAACACGACUGAGCGACUGAACUGAACUGAACUGAACUGAAGUGAAACAAAGUCAUAUGCACGUUCACUGUAUGCUGAUGUUCCUUAGUGAUGUGUAGACAAAAAAAAGUAUAGGAAAGAGUAGUAGUAGAUACCCAUGACCAAAUACCAAGUAAUGGGCUAACUGCUUAACACAGAUGUUGUCAUUAAGUAUCACAGUAUUCCCACAAAGUAGAUUUUAUCAUGCAUUUUGCUUAUAUAGAAGCAGAGGCUCAAAGGACUUCAGUCAUUUAUCAACAGUUCCCUCGCUCAAAGUGCCAGAAGCCCAAAGCCAUGUCCAUUUAAACUGCUCCCGCCUUGCAACAUUUACUGCAGUCAUAAACCAAGAAACAAAUGUCACUUCCUUUUGCGAAACUUUCUGGUACCAUUGCGAUGCAAGCUGGGGAAUUUUAUCAGUGGGUGAGGCUUUGUGAUAUAGCCAGAGUUCUGUAAUGAGUCACCUAACUGCGUAAUAGAGAUGGUUAUGCUUAGACAAGUGACCACCGAAAUGACAGUUGGGUAUUUGCUAGUCCCUGCUUUCCUUGCAAAUCAAAUUUGCCAAGAAAGCCAGGUAAAGCGAUGUUUUUUAAAGCUGUCAGCAUUCUUUACAUCGGAAACAAAUUAUGUGUUUUCUAUCACAUUCAUCACCCCCUCAACAAGAUUUUAUCCUUUAAAUGGGAGAGCUGUGUGAGGCCAAGUUUGCACUUUUCUCUUGCUGGCAAUUUUGUGAGGUAAGAUAAACUACAAAGCUUGCUCUUCAGACCCUCUCUGAAUUCUGACAUUCCCCCAGAAGCAAUUUUCACUUGGAGGUUACCAGGAAGAAGUAAAAGGAUUGCCCAUAAACCAGACAUACAUUACUGAGAAGGGACAGAAAACGGGGAAGCAUGGUGACACGGGUCCUUUGCAGAGCUAUUCUGUCAGCUCCACCCCUGGCAGAUUACCUAAGGUCAGCGACGUCCUUGGAUAUCUGAGCUUUUGGGAACAUCAGAGAAACAUCCUCCAGGUUUUGUUUCUCUAGUGCACGUCAUAAGUAUUGACCCCACUCUCAUACACAUUGUUGAAAGGUAUGUGGUUUGCACUUACAUACAGGUCAAAACUUUUUUAUUUGGAAAAGCCUCUCUUCCCUUACCUGUCCAAGCAUCAUGUGUUUCCUGUCAGCACCACUUACACAGAGAGUAAAAUAGAUGAGAAGGAAGUAGGAAGAAUUUGACACUCAGCAAAGAGCAUGCCAAGGUGCAGUUCCUAACACAGUUUCUUUGGUGUUGCCCCUUGGAGGCCCCUGUCAACAGUUCUGUGAGAGAUGGGAGGCUUCUCAUAACAUCUGCUCCACCUUCCUCAUCUCUUUCGGCUAACUUAAAGUAUCUGAUCUGGGUGUCUGAUCUGAUUUAAGUAUCUGAUUUAAGAAGGCUUGGGUUUCCUCCCAAUGGUCAUCUGAGGCCCCAAUCUAGUUACAACAGGAAAUAGGUAUGGGCUACUAUCCAACAGGAGUGUGGCUCUGGGAAACUCUUCUGAAUAUUGUAUAACAAAAGAUGUCGAGCUUAUUAACAUAUGGAUCAGAGUAUGAUCAAAAAUAGGCCUUCCCUGGUGGCUCAGCUGUAAAGAAUUGACCUGCCUUGAAGGAAGACACGGGAGAUGCAAGUUCAAUCCCUGGGUCAGAAAGAUCCCCAGGAGGAGGAAAUGGCAACCCACUCCACUAUUCUUGCCUGGGAAAUCUCAUGGAUGGAGGAGGCUGGUGGGCUACAGUCCAUGGGGUCACAAAGAGUCAGACACGAGUGAGCAACUAAGCAUUCAGGUGAACAAAAAUAAGACCAACUGCUGUGUAAGACUUUUCCUGAGAUCUCAAGUUGGUAGCCUACUCAAAUGAGUGGUUACCACUGUAGGUGCGUUCUGUUUCUCUUCAUCUAAGCAGAAGGUGUAGAGAAAGGUGCUCAGAAAUCCUGUGUGCUUAAUAGGCAUUUCUGUCUUGAAAGAGGCAUAACAGAUCACAGUCUGGCAUUAGGCCUCCAGAACCUGAAAGGACCAGGCUCCAGUGCAGGGUCGGUAGGAGAGGAUGCAGUCACUGUCUCCCUUCCCUGAACACUAUUUUCCCUCCUUCACUGCAAGAUCAAACAAUAAUAAUAACAACAUAUCCAGUGAAUGUAUCUGGGCUUCCCCAAGGGCUCAGUGGUAAAGAAUCUGCCUGCAGUAUAGGGGAGCUGGGUUCUAUCCCUGAGUCAGGAAAAUCUCUAGGAAAAGGAAAAGGCAAUGCACUCCAGUAUUCUUGCCUGGAAAAUCCCAUAGGCAGAGGAGUCUGGCCAGUUAGUCCAUGGAGUGGCAAAGAGUCAGACACCACCGAGCGACUAAAGAACAAAUCUAAUGAGCAAAGUAAACACAGUAACUUCCAAACUCUUUAGUCAUAAAAUCAUUACACACUAUCUCCUACCUGUGAGGCAUUGCAUAAAAUUCUAGCAAUGAUACAAGCGUGAAAUAAAUGCAAUACCAUCUCUUUCAAAAUCCUGACUUUUUUGAGUGGGGAAAGCUGACUUGAAACCGGAAUUACCAAGUGAAUCUCUCGUCAUGUCAUUUCACUUCUGUAUCUGUGCAGGUUGUCUGUGCGUCUUCAGUGUGCUUGUCAAGCUCUUUGUCCUGGCAGAGGAGAUCAGCCAUGGUCUGUCAGGUCCAACCUGCCUCUCCAGCAUCAUCUUUCUCUUCAUUCUGCCUGCAUCCUAGUCUUCAGCAUCAAAAUCUGCCCACACUUUGUUCCGUGUUCCACAGUGCUUUCAUAUCUGUUGCCCCCUUCAUCUAGAAUGCCUUUCCCAUUUAUCUUGAAUAAGUUCACAUUGUUUAAAGACUCAGUUUCGGCCUUAACUAGAAUGAGCAUCCAUCCAUGCAUCACAUCCCCUUUAAACCAUGACUUUUGUCAGCGUUUGAAAGAAGCUCACUGCAAGUCAUUGUCUUCACACUAGAAUGUGUGCUUCUUGAGAAUGAACAGCUGCUUUUGUCUCUAUUUCCUUAGGAUGGCUCCCAGGGCCUGACACCUGACUGACCUUAACAGUAUUGUGAAAAAGUAAUGAUGAUGCAAGGCAUUUAACAAAGCAGCAGAAGAAUGAUGUAAUAGAAAUGCAAGGCAGCUGUUAGAUGUAGUUAGGAAGAAGGAGGCGUUCAUAAUGUGUUCAUCAUUCUAGAAGCUUGGAUUGAGGAAGUUGGAUUCGGGAAGUUGGAUUGAGAUUUCCACUGUGCCUUUAAAGAAUGGGCAGGAUUCAGGAAGGGAAGAAAAGUUUUUUAAGAUGAAGAUUCAACGUGAAAGAAAUCAGAGAUGUCUGAAACAUUCAACUGAAUAAAGGCUUACCAAAUAAGAUGCCAAAACAGUGAGGUUGUUUAUGUGGGUUAAGUCUAUCAUGAGAAGAUUGUGGUCUUUAUUUAGAAGGCAAUGUGGAGACAUUGAUGGUUCAUGAGGAAAAAAAUUACAUAGUAGAAUGCUUGUUUUAGGAAGAUAAUUAUGGCAGCAAUGUGCAGGGUGGUUUAAAAUUCAGUGUCUUAGAAAACCAGGAAAGACAAUGUUUCAAAAAGAAUGUUGCCAGUGUGAAAUAGAACAAGACAGGAGAAAAGGCAACUGUGUGACAUAAGAAAAGCAGGAGGGUGGAGGGGAAGAAUAAAAGCAUCACCAGGGUUACGUGGAGCAGACCAAUUGGAUCGAAAUUGCCAGUGAAGUAGAAGGUUACCUUUGGAAAUAAGUGUAGGUUCUUCCUCCUAAGAAAGGGGUUGAGUUCAGCUCAGUCAGUCGUGUCCGAUUCUUUGCGACCCCAUGAAUCGCAGCAUGCCAGGCCUCCCUGUCCAUCACCAUCUCCCAGAGUUCACUCAGACUCACGUCCAUCGAGUCUGUGAUGCCAUCCAGUCAUCUCAUCCUGGG